AGGUGGAGGACUAAGUGCAGUGUUGUUUUAAUUUUAAGAACAAAUGUUUGAGGAAGUAGGUUGCAGCAGUUGUUUCACAUUCGAUUAUUUCUCAAGACACAGUGCAGCUGAAGAGUAGUGGUAGAAUAGUGAUUACUGCUGUUGUCUCAAGUGAGUUAUGUUGUUAUACUCUCCUCUGCACCUGAGUAGAACCAGUGGGGACCUCUUUUAUGUUGUUUUCUUCUGCUCUGAUUUAUAGUCUCCUCCAGCAACAAAUCUGCCAGAUCUGGAAGCACACAGAAAAUGGUACUUAGUGCAGAAGAGCCAAAUAUAUUGCUGUUGGUCUUGCUCUUCUUAUUUCCAGUACUUCUGUCAGGAUCUUGGUUUCCCAGAAGUUUGCCCUGUGAUGUUAAAGCCUCUGAAGGUGCUGUGACAGUGGACUGCACUGAUCGACAUCUCACUGAAGUCCCCAGAGGGAUUCCUGCAAAUGCUACCAACCUUACCCUGAAUAUUAACCAUAUCCCCCGUAUCAAUCCAACAUCCUUUGCUCAUCUUGAAAACCUUGUGGAGAUUGACUUCAGAUGCAACUGCGUGCCUGCCAGAAUGGGGCCCAAAGACAAUGUGUGCAUCAGGAGACUGGAGAUUGAGAAUGGCAGUUUUGCUGCCCUGACAAGUCUGAAGUCAUUGUACUUGGAUGCAAACCAGCUGUUGGAAAUACCCCGGGGUCUCCCUGCUACUUUAAGUCUGCUGAGCCUGGAAGCAAACCAUAUAUUUUCUAUCAAAAAACACAAUUUGUCAGAGCUAGGAAACAUAGAAAUACUGUAUUUGGGACAGAAUUGUUACUACCGUAACCCAUGCAAUGUUUCCUUUGAAAUUGAAAAAACAGCCUUUCUGGAGCUGAAAAAAUUAACAAUAUUAUCCCUGAAGUCUAACAACUUAACUCAGAUUCCACCCAAUCUGUCAUCUACUUUAAAGGAAUUGUAUAUUUACAAUAACAUGAUUCAAGUGGUUCAAGACCAUGAUUUAAGUGCCCUUCACAACCUAGAAAUUCUUGACCUUAGUGGUAAUUGUCCACGUUGCUAUAAUGCCCCAUAUCCUUGUACUCCCUGCCCCAAGGGUACAAUUGAGAUACACUCAAAUGCUUUUUAUUCCUUGAAAAAUUUAAGAAUUUUGCGGCUUCACAGUAACUCUCUUCAGAGCAUACCCAGGGUUUGGUUUAAAAACAUUAGGAAUCUCAAGGAACUUGACCUCUCCCAAAAUUUCCUUAUGAAGGAGAUUGGAGAUGCUCAGUUUUUGAAGUUUAUUCCCAGCCUUGUAGUGCUCGAUCUGUCUUUUAAUUUUGAAGUGAAGGUCUAUUCUCCAUUCUUGAAUCUGUCUAAGACGUUUUCCUUCCUCUCUAACCUGGAAAUUCUGCGGCUCAAGGGAUAUGUCUUUAAAGAACUUAGAGAGGAAAAUCUAGAUCCAUUGCGCAGUCUCAGAAAUUUAACAGUGUUGGACCUCGGGACUAAUUUUAUUAAAGUAGCUGACCUGGGAGUGUUCAAGGAGUUCCCAGCUCUUAAACUCAUAGACCUCUCAGUGAAUAAAAUUUCUCCUUCCUCAGAUGAAAGGAACUUUAAUGGAUUUUGCUCUAAUCCCAGGAUUUCAUUGGAGCAAUACAACAGGCAAGUAUUACAAGAGAUGCAUUAUUUCAGGUAUGAUGAGUAUGGGAGAAGUUGCAGGUCCAAAGACAAAGAGGCUGCUUCCUCUCGAUCAUUAGUUAAGGAAGAGUGCCUGGAAUAUGGAGAAACUCUGGAUUUAAGCAGAAACAACAUAUUUUUUAUAAACCCCUCAGACUUCCAGGGACUUAGAUCCCUCAGAUGUCUCAACUUGUCAGGUAAUGCAAUAAGUCAGACUUUAAAUGGAAGUGAAUUCUACUACUUGUCUGGAUUGAAAUAUCUGGAUUUUUCUAACAACAGGAUUGACUUGCUAUACUCAACUGCAUUCAAAGAGCUAAAACUUUUAGAAAUACUGGACAUAAGCAAUAAUGAGCAUUAUUUUCUGGCAGAAGGUGUUACUCACGUGCUUAGUUUUAUGAAAAACUUGCCUUGUCUGAAGAAGCUGAUGAUGAAUGAGAAUGAGAUUUCUACCUCUAUUAGCACAGGAAUGGAAAGCGAGUCUCUCGAGAUUUUAGAAUUCAGAGGAAAUCGUUUAGAUGUUUUAUGGAUGGAUGGUAAUUCCAGGUACUUGUCAUUCUUCAAGAAUCUGACCAGCCUGGAACAACUGGACAUUUCCUUCAACUCACUCAGUUUUUUGCCCACUGGUGUUUUUGAAGCUAUGCCUCCAGGACUCAAGGUCCUCAACUUAACCAAUAACCGUCUGAAGGCUUUCAGCUGGGGAAGCCUCCAGAAUCUGAAGAGACUAGUAACUCUGGACCUCAGCGAUAACCUUCUGACUACUGUUCCCCGAGAACUGUCCAAUUGCUCUUCAGUGCUGCAAGAACUCAUGCUCCGAAACAAUCGCAUUCAACGGCUAACCAAAUAUUUUCUCAAAGGUGCUUUUCAAUUGAAAUACCUGGACCUCAGCUCAAACAAGAUCCAAAUAAUCAAGAAAUCGAGCUUCCCUGAAAAUGUCAUUAACAACCUGAGGAUGCUGCUUUUGCAUGGCAAUCCUUUCAAGUGCAAUUGUGAUGCUGUGUGGUUUGUUUGGUGGAUCAACCAGACUCAAGUGACUAUUCCUCUUCUGGCCACGGAUGUGACCUGUGCUGGCCCAGGGGCACAUAAGGGAAGGAGCCUGGUUUUGUUGGACCUGUAUACCUGCGAGCUGGACACCUCGUAUUUGGUCCUGUAUGCUCUGUCAGCUGCAACUGUGCUUGGCUUCAUGGUGUUCACAGUGACAAGCCACCUCUAUUUCUGGGAUGUGUGGUAUAGUUACCAUUACUGCGCUGCCAAGCUGAGGGGCUAUAGGCGUUUGUCUUUACCAGAGGCUUGCUACGAUGCAUUUAUUGCCUAUGACAAUGAAGAUCCAGCUGUGAAUGAGUGGGUGCUGAGUGAACUGGUUGAAAGGCUGGAAGAUCAAAAAGCCAGACAGUUCAAUUUGUGUCUGGAAGAGAGGGACUGGCUGCCAGGACAGCCAGUCUUCGUCAACCUUUCUCAGAGCAUUCAGCUGAGCAAAAAGACCAUAUUUGUGCUGACCAACAAGUACAUUCAAAGCGGCAGUUUCAAGACAACAUUUUACAUGGCCCACCAGCGGCUUCUAGAUGAAAAAAUAGAUGUCAUUAUCUUGAUAUUUCUGGAGAAGGUUUUGCAGAAGUCCCGCUACGUCCGGCUGAGGAAGAGGCUGUGCAGAAAUUCUGUCCUGGAAUGGCCAACUAACCCCCGAUCUCAGCCCUACUUUUGGCAGUGCCUGAAAAAUGCAAUAGCAAUGAGCAAUACCCUGGCGUACAACAAGCUUCUCCAAGAAACUGUUUAGCUCUACCCUUCCCUGUAAAUACUCUUAGGAUGCACGGUGAGAAAAAGAUCCUAAACUUCAUUUGGAGACAGUGUGGAAGCAUGGAGGGUAAAUGCAGUUGUGACAUCCUACCCCAAAACAAAAUGCACAAUCAGUACCAAAGCUCAUAGUUUGCUUGUUUUGCUAUGACAAGACUGAACAGAAAUUGUUGCCAGCACAGAUGUUUAUCUGGCGUGCACCUUGUUUGAUAUUGGUUGCUGCACAAUAAGAGAGUAUGCACUACCCACUGGAAGUCCCUGGUUUUGAACAGACUCACUGCUUCCAGCUCUCUGUUCACUGGAGGCCUUCAGCAUCUCCUGGGGUUGGGUCAAGCGUGGGUGAAACACCUGCCCAGCUUACUUUAGUGCACAGACUGCUGGGAGGACUUGAGCCAUGCCUGAAGCUGCUGCUGUUCAGAUCACUGUUGGAGUAAAUGUGAUUUUAAUAGAAAAGUAUGGAUUCUGUAUUUGGUAUAUUUAUUGAAAUCACGAAAAGUAUUUUCUGACACAGCUGUCUCAGAAAAUACUCUAAGCAAAGCUCAUGCUUUGAAUUUAGGAGUUGGGGAAAUGUAAGAACGAUUAUUAUUUCAUCUUGGGCUUACAGCUGCUGAGCCUACAGCUUGUGUGUGAGUGGGCAACAGGCCGAAUGGCUGGGGAGAGGGAAUUCUGGUGGGACUGCUGUCAGGAGCUUGGGUGUGGUAUGUCAAAAAUCUCAUAAAUCUGAAGAGACUUUGAAGAACAUGUAUGGGCUAAAAUAGUAACAUAUAAGAGAAACAAAUUCAGAAGGGUUUGCAGGUUGUAGGUCAGAAGAAGUUACAAGAUAAAUGGAGUCGUUGUGCAAGGAGCUGCUGUGUGGGAGUGAGAAGAGAGAGCAGAGGGAAGCCCUUGCACAAGGCAGAUGUAGAAAAUCCAGUGAAACAAAGAGGAAAAGACAAAGAAAGGAAGGUAAAAAUAAAAAAGAGAAAGGGGAAGAGGUGGAAAGAACAGCGAAAAAGACAGCCAGAUUGGGCAUGAUAGAAGUUAAGAAGCAUUUACUGCUCAUUUCCAAUUAAUCUCUUCAAUUUGCCUUUCACCUGCCUCCUGGGCUGAACUUAUUCCUCCCCAAGGACUUGGAACUCCUUGCCAGUGUUGUGCCAUCAGCUUCAGGAGCCUGGCUUCCCCUUUUCCAUCUAGGUCCUGUGUUACAACUCCUACAAGUCUGUCUGUCCUUUCUUUAAGUAGCUCCAUUUUCAUUUAUUUGGAGGUAUCCAGACAGACAGGAACAAAAUCACAAACAAGAAAAUCAAGCUUCAUAUAAUAAUAUUACAUAUAACAAAGUGGUUUUCCUCCCAAUUUGUCACAGCAUAUUUACUGACUGAAACAUAUGUAGGAAAAAGAGGAGGAACUGCUUGAGAAUACUGUAGUUUUAUGGUUUCGUUUUAAUAUUUUUUUUUUUAUAAUAUAUCUUGCUGAUGGUUCUGUUUGUAAGCCUAAACAAUGUGUAUCUCUAAAUACAGUAACAGGAGUUUUAAUAUGAGUUGCUUCAUAAGGUAAUGCUUGAAAUGGGAACCUCUACUCCUCACUUACUCCCACACAAUCUCCUUCUACCUGCCUACAUCAUUUCUACCCAGAGCAGAUCCUCUUUCUUAGCCUGCUUGAUUAGGGUAGUGGCCACAAGGUCAUAUGGCCUUUCCAAGGUUGAGGGGAGAAGCACUUCCUCCUCUUCCAUUUAGAGGAAUCCAAGAGACUUUUAUGGCAUUAGUAACAACGCAUAUGUUAAUAUACACAAAAGUCUGAGCUGACAGUACGGCAAGGGGCUUAUGCAUACUGCAGCACAAGGCUGCAGAGAGGAUGGGGUUGCUGCACCAACACUUUUCUGAAUAUCCAAGAGCGACAGUGAAUGGUGCUGUGGUCUGCAGUGGGAAAGGAGCGAUCUGCUGGUAUGGCACUGCCCACUGCAAGGGUCAGCACUCUCAGCCAGCACCUGGGUCACCGGGAGAAGAGCCCACAGCUGGUUUCAUGAGAUAAAAACCUUUUCUGAUACCUGCACUCUUCCCUUGCAAAAAAACACGGCCAGAGGAAUGAGGAGGGACCAAGGAAGACUGAAACAGGAAGUUAUUUUUUUAGCUAAAGAAGGUAAUUCCCUACCCCAUUUCUGUAUCCUGUGACACCUCUAUGUAGUUACCAUGCUUCAAGAAGGAGGUACCAGCCUGAUGAGCUGAGCCAUGGCUGCAUCCUUCUCUCUCAAUUCUUCAUGGUAUGCUAGAAGGAGGCCAUUUACUGUCCUGGACCAUGUGUGUUUUGCAGACUGAAGAUUAUCUCUGUAGUCAUAGAACAACAGGGUUUGGGGCUUUUUUUAAGGUAGUUUAAUACAUAGUAGUUAAGAGUAUUUCAUUAAUCAAAAUCUUUCUUGAACAGGAGAAAUAAUCUGAAUUUAGAUUAGUUAGGUUCAUAGCUAAGAAAUGCCAUAAAUGGGCAUGCCCUUCAUUCCUCCUGAAUUUUUUUUUUUUUUUUUUUUUUUAAUAAUGGAGCACCAUGAAAAAGGUAGGAGUUAUGAGUUAUUUGGCAGAUUCAAACUAAUUUAUUACUCUAACUGUAUGAGGAUUUUAACCUUGGAGCUUACUUGCCUGGUUGGUGUAGUAGUGUUUGAAUUUAUCAAACACUGAAGAGCCCUGAGGUGUCCAUACUUCAGGGUUUCACUAUGGUAUAGCUUGUGAUCUGGAGGAGGUCGAUGAGGAGGAAGAGGUAAGGGCAUUCAGCUAGCCUAAAUGUUGACAUCUAAAGGUCAAUGUGUCAUUCUGCAUUCAGAUGUGAGGUGAUAGAGACAUUUUAUGACUAUCACUUUUCCUAUUGCAGAGGUUUAAGAUGGGCCAAAGUAAUUGCAACGCAAAACCAGAAUUUCUCCCCGCUAUCUGUGAAGGGUUCCCAUGGUGACCAGCUCAGAUGUAGAUGAUUCUUCCUCAUCCUUUACCCAGAAUACUUGAGAUCCACAAGUCUGCAAAGAAGAAUUAUAUUCAUACAAGCUUAUGCUCUUGAACAUCGUAGCUGAAUGCUGUGUUCUGUUUAUAAUAAAAUCUCUUAACCUAAUAA